AAAUGGGGCGGCCCUCCGAGGAAAACAAUAAAGCACAAAUGACAGGAACAGAUGGUCCUCUUUAUGGUGCCCUGAAAUGAAAACACUGAAUAGCUUUACUGGGUGGCAGUUUUUUUAUCCCCUCUCCUCUGCCUGGUUAUGGGCCGCUAACACCUCACCACCUGGUCGUACAGUAGUCAUUAACCACCUCUCCUCUUGGACCGUGGCGAGAUGUCGGGCGAGACACCAGAGGAGGAUAAUAACUGGGUAAAAAAAAGGCAGGGAUCCUGACAAACAUAUCCUAUGAAGACCUGAGCCCUAGGAUCAUGCCUCAGGACUACCUGGCCUGACGACUUCUAGCUGUCCCCAUCCCCAGUCCACCUGGUUGUGCUGCUGUCCUGUCUACAGCUAUAGAACCCUGACCUGUUCACCGGACGUGCUACCUUGCCCCGGACCUGCUGUUUCGACCCACUCUCUCUCCCUCUUCCUAGGUUCCUACCUUUCUAGGGAGUUGUUGCUACCCCCCGUGCUUUUACAUCUGCAUUGCUUGCUCUUUGGGGUUUCAGGCUCAGUUUCUGUAUAAGCACUUUGUGACACUUGCUGACGUAAAAAGGGAUUCUAAAUACAUCUGAUCUAUUGAGGGUACUUGUGUCGCAUGACACACUUUUAUUAAAACCUCUCUUGGGUAGGGUGAGACGUUAGCGUCCCACCUCUUCAACAGCCAGUGAAACUGCUGGGCGCCAAAUUCAAAUACAGAAAUACUCAUUAUAAAAAUUCAGAAAACAAAACAUAUUUUACUUAGGUUUAAAGAUUAACUUCUUGUGAAUCCAACCACGGUGUCAAAUUUAAAGAAUGCUUUACGGCGAAAGCAUACCUUACGAUUAUUUGAGAACAUAGCCCAUUAGACAAAUCCUUACAAACAGUAACCAGCCAAGUAGAACAGUUACACAAGUCAGAAAUAGAGAUAAAAUUAACCUUUUACGGGGGCAGCCCGACACCGGUACACUUAUGACAACAUCCAGCUCAAAGUGCAGGGCGCGAAAUUCAAAAUCUAUUUUUUUUUUAUAUUUAACUUUCACACAUUAACAAGUCCAAGACACCAGAUGAAAGGUGCACAUCUUGUGAAUCAAGCCAACAUGUCCCAUUUUUAAAAUGUUUUACAGGGAAGACAAAAUAUGUAAAUCUAUUAGCUAACCACGUUAGCAAAAGACUCCAUCAGUUUCUUGCUCCAUCAGGUGCUAUCACAAAUUCGACCAAAUAAAGAUAUAAAUAGCCACUAACCAAGAAACAAAUUCAUCAGAUGACAGUCUGAUAACAUAUUUAUUGUAUAGCAUAUGUUUUGUUUGAAAAAUUUGCAUAUUUCAUGUAUAAACCAUAGUUUACAUUUCAGCUACAAUCCGAAAUUGCACCGAAAGCAGACAGAAUAUUUACAGACACCAACGUCAAAUAGCUAAUUUGUUACGAUCGCUAACUUUUGCUACUGGGGAAUGGCUUGUGUUUCUGGCUAUUGUGGUAAGCUAAUAUACCGCUAUAUUGUGUUUCGCUGGAAAACACUUAAGAAAUCGGAAAUAUUGGCUGGAUUCACAAGAUGCUUGUCUUUCAUUUGCUGUACACUAUGUAUUUUUCAGAAAUGUUUUAUGAUGAGUAUUUAGGUAUUUGACGUUGGUAUCUGUAAUUAUUCUGGCUGCUUUCGGUGCAAUUUCUGAUUGUAGCUGCAAUGUAAACUAUGAUUUAUACCUGAAAUAUGCACAUUUUUCGAACAAAACAUAGAUUUAUUGAAUAACAUGUUAUAAGACUGUCAUCUGAUGAAGUUGUUUGUUGGUUAGUUUGGUUGGUUCUUGGUUAGUUAGGUUGGCAUUGUGCAUGCUACCUGUGCUGUGAAAAAUGUCUGUCCUUUUUUGUAUUUGGUUGUGAGCUAACAUAAAUAUACGUGCUGUUUUCGCUGUAAAACAUUUUAAAAAUCGGACAUGUUGGCUGGAUUCACCAGAUGUGUACCUUUCAUUUGCUGUAUUGGACUUGUUAAUGAACCUUUUCUCAAUAGGGGGUGCUGUUUGCACUUUGUAAUAAUUUUGUUCCCAAAUUAAACUGCCUCGUACUCAA